AGAUUGAACGCUGGCGGCAUGCCUUACACAUGCAAGUCGAACGGCAGCACGGGAGCAAUCCUGGUGGCGAGUGGCGAACGGGUGAGUAAUACAUCGGAACGUGCCCAAUCGUGGGGGAUAACGCAGCGAAAGCUGUGCUAAUACCGCAUAAGAUCUACGGAUGAAAGCAGGGGAUCGCAAGACCUUGCGCGAAUGGAGCGGCCGAUGGCAGAUUAGGUAGUUGGUGAGGUAAAGGCUCACCAAGCCUUCGAUCUGUAGCUGGUCUGGAGGGGACGACCAGCCACACUGGGACUGAGACGACGGCCCAGACUCCU
rnacentral:rRNA from 1 species